CCCUUAGAUGUUCUGGGCGGCCCGCGCACUACAAUGGCGUGUGCAGCGAGUGCCGAAGUAGAGUUUUCCGAGGUAUUCUUGCAAUGCUCGGUUUGAUGGGGAUAGACCCUUGCAACUGUUGGUUUUGAACGAGGAAUUCCUUGUAAGCAUGGUUUAUCAUCCGACGCUGAAUGCGUCCCUGCCCUUUGUACACACCGCCCGUCGCUCCUACCGAUGAGUCGUCCGGUGAAGUUCGUAGACCUCGUGAUCGCGGAUCACUGGGGGAAGCAAAAUGAACCUCGCGGUUUAGAGGAAGGAGAAGUCGUAACA
rnacentral:rRNA from 1 species